UACAGAGGUCUCAAGCGUUGUUCGGAUUCAUUGGGCGUAAAGGGUGUGUAGGUGGCGCCGUAAGUCGGGUGUGAAAUUCGACGGCUUAACUCCGAAACUGCAUUCGAUACUGCGGUGCUUGAGGACUGGAGAGGAGACUGGAAUUCAUGGUGUAGCAGUGAAAUGCGUAGAGAUCAUGAGGAAGACCAGUGGCGAAGGCGGGUCUCUGGACAGUUCCUGACACUGAGACACGAAGGCCAGGGGAGCAAACGGG
rnacentral:rRNA from 1 species